rnacentral:rRNA from 1 species
AUUGAACGCUGGCGGCGUGCUUAACACAUGCAAGUCGAGCGGUAACGCGGGGGUAACCCUGGCGACGAGCGGCGAACGGGUGCGGAAUGCAUGGGAAUCUGCCUGAUAGUGGGGGAAUAACCCGGGGAAACUCGGGCUAAUGCCGCAUACGACCUGAGGGUGAAAGCGGGGGACCGUAAGGCCUCGCGCUAUCAGAUGAGCCCAUGUCGGAUUAGCUAGUUGGUAGGGUAACGGCCUACCAAGGCGACGAUCCGUAGCUGGUCUGAGAGGACGGUCAGCCACACUGGGACUGAGACACGGCCCAGACUCCUACGGGAGGCAGCAGUGGGGAAUAUUGGACAAUGGGGGGAAACCCUGAUCCAGCGACGCCGCGUGUGUGAAGAAGGCCUGCGGGUUGUAAAGCACUUUCGGUGGGAACGAAAUAUGUCGGGUCAAUACCCCGGCAGGCUGACGUUACCCGAAUGAAGAAGCACCGGCUAACUCUGUGCCAGCAGCCGCGGUAAAGUCUGUACU